UGUUAUUACUUUCCAUUGCAUCUGAUCGUUGAUCAGUUACAGGUGUGAUCGUAUCAGAACCAUUCGUGCACAUUUUAAAACAAGAUAAGAAGAAAAGUGCUGGCUGAUCUAGUUUGGUUGGUAAAAUUGGUUCAUGGGGUAGCCUAGAAGACCUUUUCUCAAACUCCCCUUCUGUCACUGAAUCAUGUGGUAAAAUAGAUCUAUCUUGCCCCAUUUUUUCACCAAGAAAUAUCAGAACAUUAUGUGAGACUUUAAAGAGCUCUUCAUCUAUCAUUCUGGUCAGGAAAGAAGGGUAAGAAGUUAAGGCCAUUUCCAUUCCUUUCAUUGAAACUUCCAUGUUUUGCAAACCAUGUCCUGGAUCUGUGUAGGGAAUCAAGAAUCUCAGCCAAGGUUUCUCCCAUUGCAAACCUUCCUGCUCAAAUUAGGAGGGUAUUUUAGAUUAUGAACAAGAAUGGGUUAAUUUCACAUAUGGUCAGUGU
rnacentral:lncRNA from 1 species